AUGCUUGCCGCUCUCAUCAUCACCAUACUAUUGAUGAUGAUGAUGAUGGCCACCUCUGCCGCGCUUGCCUCGGACGCAGUGGUGCUUAGAGGACAAGCAAGAGCACUCCUCGUCUGGAAAGAUAGCCUCGACAACCAAAGCCAGCACGCCCUGCGGUCCUGGGGAAACACGUCAGCGCCCUGCAAUUGGCGCGGCAUCACUUGCGGUACCAGUGUGCAUUGGCAUCGGUGGCGGCCGCUGAUCACUGGCAUCGCUCUGCGCGGCAUGCAAUUGGGAGGGACGCUGGAGUCCCUCAACUUCUCGGCCUUGAGGACCCUGGCGCGCCUCGACCUGUCAAGCAAUCAGUUGGUUGGUCAUAUCCCUUGUGAAAUGGGACACAUGAAGCACUUAGUUGCAUUAGAGUUGUCUAGUAAUAAUCUUUCCAGUAAAAUACCAAGUAGCAUAGGUGGUUUGACCAAACUCACUUCCUUAUACCUUUACGGUAACCAACUUUAUGGACAAAUUCCACGAGAACUGGGUUACCUUCUAAACUUAGAGGACCUGCAACUUGGCACCAACACACUCUCAGGUUCCAUUCCAAGAAAUUUACGUAAUUUGACGAAGCUCACCGUGUUAAGUCUCUGGGGCAACAAACUUUCUGGGCUAAUUCCACAGGAAUUAGAUUACCUUGGGAACUUGCAGUACCUGGAUCUUAGUGAAAACAUACUCUCAGGUUCCAUCCCAAAUAGCCUAGGCAAUUUGACAAAACUCACUACCUUGUACCUUUUUCAAAACCAACUUUCUGGACACAUCCCUCGAGAACUAGGUUACCUUGAGAACUUAGAAGAGGUAGCACUUAGAGACAACACACUAACUGGUUCCAUCCCAAAUAGCAUAAGUAAUUUGACCAAACUCACAGACUUGAACCUUUUCAGCAACCAACUUUCUGGACACAUCCCUAGAGAACUAGGUCACCUUGAGAAGUUACAGUACUUGGAGCUUGAGAACAACACACUAACAGGUUCCAUCCCAAAUAGCAUAGGAAAUUUGACCAAACUCACGGAUUUGCACCUUGAGAAUAACCAACUUUCUGGAGACAUCCCUCGAGAACUAGGGUAUUUAGUCAACUUAGACUACUUGUAUCUUAGCUACAACACUGACAGGUUCCAUCCCAGAAGACCUAGGCAAUCUCACGAAACUCCGUUACUUGUACCUUGA
rnacentral:rRNA from 1 species